rnacentral:tRNA from 1 species
GCGUCUAUAGCUCAGUUGGUUAGAGCACCACCUUGACAUGGUGGGGGUCGUUGGUUCGAGUCCAAUUGAACGCACCA